AGAGCAGGCGGCAGUGUGCGCGCGGUGAGGCCAGUGUGAGUGUGUGAGGCAGUGCACGCCGUCGCUUCUCCUCAGACCAACCGACCUACCUACUCACCUACCUACUUACCUUACCCUUUCCUUGCGCCCGUCUACAGGUACUUGUGGUCUUACAGGGACAAGACCCUAGUUACAUGAACUAUAUUUGAACAAGUGGUGAUAAAAGACAAAAGGCAAAAGAAAAAAAAAGAAAAAAAGAGGCCUUCCUGGUGCUAACGCGAUACAAAUAAGAAAACAAAAAAGAAAGAAAAAAAGAAGGAAAAAGAAAAUAAGAAAAAAGAGACAAAGAAAAAAAAACAUAGAGAAAAAAAGAAAAGAAAACAAACAAAACAAAGCAAAAAAAAAAAACGCCCUCAUCCUCUUUUUUCCGGCCCCAUCGCAACAAUCUCGUCAGAUCCUUUCAAGUCACAGCUAUUUCGAAGUUGUCAUUCUACCGCCACGGGCUUGACACCUUUCCCCGGGUGACAACGGUUCUCUCUGAGGCGAACCAUCACAACACAGCUCCUUCAAGCCGCAACGAACCACCUUAUCCCUCGCCACAAAAACCUAUUCCACGAGACGUCACUCAUGGACCAACAGGACGCCGGCACUGUCUGGAAGCACUCCUCAGGAGACCUCCACUCGCGCCUUAAAACCCGGAAGAUCCUCGGCGUCGGAGAGACUGACAAUGGGGACAUUCACAGGUCCAAGGUACGCAAGGACGAGCCUUUUUCCAUCGGGCCGUCUGUCCUCCUAACUGUCUUGC
rnacentral:lncRNA from 1 species